rnacentral:rRNA from 1 species
UCCUAGGCAUUGAGGCUGCCUCUCACUGAUCUCAGAAAUUAAGCAAAGUCAGCCUUGUUUGUACUUGGAUGGGAGACCACCAAGCAAUACCAAGUGCUGUAGGCU